AUAGUUAGUAUUAGUCGUAGUACGCCAUUGUUAAAAAAAAUAAAUAAGACAGGCCUGCUAAGGCUAUUUAUUGUGAAAUGCUUCUUACUUACAAGGUGCUCAAAGCAUUUGAAAUAGCAAAAAUUCACUCUUAUCUGCCUGAGCAAACAGAAACAUUAACAUUUUCUACUGACGGCAAACGUUGCAUUACUUCAGUUGGUAGCGAGAAAAUAGUGCUAUACGACUGUAACAGUGGCUUAGAUUUGAAAACUAUUAAUAUAAAAAAGUAUGGAAUUGGAGUCGUUGAACAUACUUAUUGCGAAAACACCAUUUUACAUACUUCCACUAGAUUGGACGAUAACAUCCGUCAUCUUUCAUUGCACGACAAUAAAUAUCUCUGUUACUUUCAAGGCCACACUAAUAG